UACGAAGGGGGCUAGCGUUGCUCGGAAUCACUGGGCGUAAAGCGCACGUAGGCGGAUAUUUAAGUCAGGGGUGAAAUCCCAGAGCUCAACUCUGGAACUGCCUUUGAUACUGGGUAUCUCGAGUAUGGAAGAGGUGAGUGGAAUUCCGAGUGUAGAGGUGAAAUUCGUAGAUAUUCGGAGGAACACCAGUGGCGAAGGCGGCUCACUGGUCCAUUACUGACGCUGAGGUGCGAAAGCGUGGGGAGCAAACAGG
rnacentral:rRNA from 1 species